GCCGCCUUGGCUCAGCGGUAGAGCGGUGGUUUUGUAAAUCACAGAUCCCGGGUUCGAAUCCCGGAGGCGGCUCCA
rnacentral:tRNA from 1 species